rnacentral:lncRNA from 1 species
GAUCGCUCUCUUUCCCCCUACCCAAGUGGGCGCACAACUUUUCGCUCCUCGCUCCCGAGCAAGCCCCGCGCGUCUCUGCCGCCAGAGCCACGAGGUGAAGAUGCGCCCUUCCGCGCGGUGCGCGCAGCCCGCUGAGGACCGAGCUCCUGGAUAAGUGGGCUGGCAGAUAAUAACAGCAUGCGGAUGAGAUACCAUCCUUGCGGUUCUCCUGCCUCCACCAAGACCUGCCCUGUCUGUGGUCACUUCAAGUCUUCUGAUGGGCUGCGCUCAGAUCUUGAGAAAUGGCCACCCUGGGGUAAAAGGGACCAUGAAUCAGGAGGGUUACAGCCUUCCAGCGGGAAGAGGACUGUGGUACAUAGGCUUUUUAGAAUGGCAAGUGAAAUUGCAUGUGUUGUGGAGCAUUGCGGGGGAGGAAGGGUGAGGAAUUAUCUGAUAGGGCAGGAGUAUAAUUGGAGAAGGAGUUGGGGGGAGGGAGAGAAGAUUGCAUUCAGAAUAACCUUGGCUGACUAAUGCAAAAAGUAGAAUGAGGCAGGAUGUCUCUAGCCUGGGUCUCGGUGACAGGCAGGCAGUUUUGCAGGGGAGUCUACUGUAGAGAGUGAAUGAGAUGGAGAGGGACUCCAUGUAGUAAAAUACACUUUUAUUUUUUCACUAUGGCUGGAAUGUUUGUCGUAAUUUUGACCAAGGGACACAGUAAACCAAGUGCCCAGCUAGUUGCAGAGUGGGGAAUCAGAUGGUUCAUAGGAAACAGAGCUCAAGAAGAGGGAGACAGUGUUAGGAAGUCUCCAGCUUCUCUGGUUGGAGCAGGAGAUGACAGAAUGGAACAUAACUAUUAUUUGCUGCGUUAAAAUGCAAUCUUUCGUCGUUUUCAUUCAUCAAGAUAGAAUUAA